AAAAAUGAUUGAUUAACAAACCCUAAUCUUUUUCAGAGCUCUAAACCCUUGUUUGAAUACGUAUAAAACCCUGUCGAGGGAAAAACUAAGCAACGGUUGCAGUUCCACAAAAACUAAAACAAAUUCUGAGAAUUUGCUUAGAAACGCCUCCGCGAGUCCCAAUUAGCGAUCAAUUUUUGCAGAAAUUGCUCAGUUUGAGGUAAGAGAAAUGCUCUACUUAGUAGAGAGAAUAUUUUUUUUUCAUUGCAAAAGCACCAUCUAGCCCCUUGAUUCUUCGAGUUAGAGUUUCAAGGAAUCAAUGGAGAAAAAGGGUAUUAAAAAGGUGCGAAAUUUAUAAAAACAUGGAGGCAAAUUUCUCUCUUGCGGUUUAUUAUAGCUUUGUAAUCUUGUGCUGAGAGUCAAUUUUGCCUUAAAAUUUUUUUUUUCAGUGUCGGAUUUUGGAGUUUUUGUGAUCAAGUGUUGAAAGGCAAAGCAAAAUGAUGAGUUAUUUUAUAUCUGAAUUUAAAUGUGGAAUUUAUUUUCCUUCAAAGUUCUCUGAUUGCUUUGCUUAGCAGCUUUCAUUUGAUUAGAUCUGAAUUUAUUUUUUUUCAAAGAAUUUAUAGUCUGUGGUAGUGUAAUAUAAUGCUUCAUGGGAAUAUUUUUCAAAAUUUUUUAUUAAUUUUUUUUUAAUGAUUUUUACUCACCAUGGGAACUAAUUCAGUGGCAAAUAAAAAAAUGAUGAGAUUCUGAUGGCCGAAUUUUGAAUGUGGAAUCACCAUAUCUUAAUAGCCUUCAAAGUUCUCUGAUUCUUUUGCUGUAUGUAUAUCUCACUGUUGCUUACAAAGAAAUGGAUUGGUAUUCUCUAAGUUAUUAUCUUUGUUCAGAAUGGUUUUUCAAAGUUGUCUUCUUUUAGGCUGGAAUUUUGUGUGCUUUUACGCCAGUUUGUUUGUCCUAAUUUUCGAUUUAAUUCAUCGACUGAUAUUUGGCUUCUGUUUUAUUUUAUGAAACAAAGGCUUGACAUGUUUUUAGCUGCUGCUGAGUUUCUUUUUUUUAAGGCUGGUCCACAUGUGCGAUUAGCAAUGCGCUUUUGGUACUUUAAGUGCCUGUUUGGCAUUGCGUUUGAGCUGCAUUGCAAUAUCUAAGGCUUGGCAAAAUAUGGUUUGUGAAAUGCUAGCUUAUUUUACCCCUUUCCAAAUCAUGCUUUUCCUAAAGCAGUUUAAGGGAAAAAAAUGCAGUUUGAGAAGCAGCUCGUACUCAACCCCAAAUGGAGCCAAGAGCCUGCCAUUGCUCUCAUGAUUUUUAGUAUGGAUGGGGCUAAGGUUUUGUAAAGGUUCAUUAGGUUGCCUUCUACAUGUUUGGGUUGUGAGAUGGUAAAUGAUGGGUUAAUUUGUUAUUUUAAAGCCAAAACCAUCAUAAUCCACCAAUUUUUUGGAUUGGAAAAUGUGGGGGUCUUAAGGUUUUAUCAAACGUUCAGAAACCAUACCUCUCCAAAACAAGGGAGUGUGGUUUAGAAACCUUGUUAAGCUUGCAUCCCAAAAUCUCCCUUUCAAGAGGUCCUGUACUGGGGAUGCUUAUUUUGUCUUAAGGUUAACUUGCUAAAGUAAGGAGGUUUGUAUAAACAUGGCACCAAACUUCAUAGCCUGUUGUAUUUAUUAUUAUUAUUCAGGCUAGACGAGCAUGGUGCAAUAUUAAUGUCUUUCCUAGUUUUGUUCAAGGAUGCCUAACUGAUCUUCUUUAUAUGGUCAACUGAGGAAGAGCUCUGAAGAAACACGCUCUGCUUUCAAUUUUUAAAUGAAGGAUACACAUUGGUUUUGCUUUAUAUCCCAUUUCUCUUUUGGUUGCUCAUGCAAUCAUUUUAUGCCCCAUUGAAUUUCAUGUAAAGUAUUGUUUAGUUCUAUUGAUUAUUGCGAUUACUGUGCCUUCUGGCCCAUCCAUGCUUUAAAGUGCACUAUUGAUUACUUCUUUUGAAGUGGUGUUUUAUAUUUUGUAUCAGGUCCAUAAUAGUUCGAAAUAUCUAUUUUGUAUUGUAUACUUGUUGAAUGCUAUAGUAAUUGUUGCUUAAUGAUACAAUUGUUGGCCUCUGGAGCUUACCAACGAUAUGCUUGAUUUUUUCUCUUGUUUCAUUUGUUAUGCUUUUGUUGAUAAAUAAAUUGUGAAGAAGCCCUUCACUUACACGAGAACACAUUUGUGCUUCAAUUUUAUGUUUUCACUGCUAAAUAUUUAGUAGAUCAUGUUUGGUUAUGUCCUUGUGGAAAGAUUUCAAUGUUUCAUGCGUAUUACAGUUUCCCAAUAGUUUUUGGUGGCUACAGUUUUCCUGAUAAUGUAUGGAGAUGGUGUUUCCUUGAUUAAGAGGUGAUUAGCCAUUUGAAUUUCUAUGUAUGGUUAUGAAUUUAAUGCCUGAUUUUCUGUCUGCAUGAUAUAAACUGUAAAGUACAUUGUGCCUGCAAUUUGAAAUUUACAUACAUGUCCUGUAUGAUAAAUUAUUUUGCUCUCCUUCGAAUUGAUACACAUUGGUAUAUCUACAGAAGGAAAAGUUUAUAACUUUUAUCAACAUUUCUUUUUUAGAGAAAACAUUGCUUAAUUCAAUAUAUUUUAAUGCCACCCGUAUGUGUAGGUGAGAGUAUUUCGUAUUCCCUCUGUAUCAAUCAAAAUAUAAGUUGGAUUAAGGAAGCAAUUAAUUUUUUUAAAUUAUAAUAAAAUUAAGGAUAAUUUUAUCAAAUUAUUAUUUAUCUUACAAUCAAGGGGAAUGCUAGUUUGAAGUGAUCUAUAAACAGACGAAAUAUUAUUUAGCCUUUAAUGAAAUUUUUAUCAAUUCAUGUAUUUAGUAAAGGUGUUUUUAGUAAUUCCGAUGUUCCCCAUCCAUUUCCACUGUUAUAUAUGUUACAGAAUGUACCACACGGUCCAACAAAUUGAUCAAUUGAUAAGAGUUUAUAGAUUACUAACAUAAUGCUCACAAAUAAAGCUUAUAAAUACUCUCAAUUUGCACUAAAAUUUAUUUUAUGACCUUGCAUUUCUAAUUUAUAGUUAAACUAUUGUUAUUGAGAAAAUAUAUCUAUUUUAAAAUAUAUUGUUAUAGUUAAUUUAUAGUUAAAUUAUUUAGUUGUAUUGUUGAUGCUUUGAGGUUUGAUAGCCAUGAAUAAUAUUAUCACCGUUUUACUCUUCCAAAAAAUAAAAUCUUAAAGGUUAAGAAUUAUAAAAAUAUUAAAAUUUUCAUUUUAGGUAUAUACUCUUAAAAAUAAAUCUUAAUUUUUAAGAUAUUUUUAAAAAAUUUAAUUUUCGGUUUGACAUAUUUUAGAUUGUUCUUUAUUUUAUGAUUAUUUUUUAUUUUUAAAAUUUUAAAAAAAGCAAAAAUUCUGAUUGAAUUGAAUUGAACCGGUCUAACUGCGAUCUAAUUAUGAUGUCAGUUCAAAGUUAAAUACGGUUUUAAAAACAUGAUAUUUAAAAUUUAUUACAAAAUCAAACAAAUACGGAAAUAUGGAAAUAUAUGGCAAUAUAUAAGAAUUAGUUUGUAUAUGGAAAUAUAAUAAUGUUGAUACUUUAUAUUUGUGUUAUUGACAUAUGUAUAUAUAUGUGUAUGUGCAAGAAAAAGCAAAUAGCACAACCAAUAUAUACAAAAGAAAAAAACAAAAAAGAAAACUUGCAACCUCUUUUAUUGCCAUGAAGAUCUCCAUGCUCAAAUUUUCUCUCCUUGCCAUUUUCUUGUUGAUUGUCCUUGGUUAGUCUCUCUUACUGUCUGUAUAUUUUUCUCUUAUACAUGUCCAUAUGCAGUAGCAGAUGUAGAUUGUAAACGAGGGAUCAAUAUAUAUAUGUGUGUGUGUGAAAUACUUUUCAUAUGUUGGUCCCAAAAAAAAAAAAAAAAAUUCUAGAUUUGACACUGCCCGUGCAUUUGCUUGUUGUUACAGUAUUGUGAUACAUAGUAAUUUAUCCGAUUAUGUUUGCAAAAACGUAAAAAUUAAAAGCAUCUUGGCUCUACUCUAUCUCAGGAGUUCGAUGGCAAUUCCAAUUUUAACUUGCAGCUCUUUGUUUCAUUGCUUUAAUUUUUUAUAUAUAGACUAAAUUUAAAAAAGAAACAAAUGUUUCAGAUUUGCAGAGUGGGGUAAGAGCAAGAGGGCCAAUAGUUCGUUAUGGAUGCAAAACAGUCCAAGAUUGUCAACCGGUUUGUACUCAAGAACAAUGCCCACCACCCAACUGGUGCUUUUGUGCAAAUAAUCAGUGUGGGUGCCAUCCAGAUUCAACCUUUGCUGGAAAUCAAACAGUAGAAAAGGAAAAGGAAGUACCAAAAAAUGUGUAACUUUACAGAACUUUUUUUUUUUUGAAAGCAACUUUACAGAACUUUUAAACUAGGGUUUUCCUUAGUGUACAAGAAUAAAUAAAGUUUGGCACCAAAGCCCAACUGUUUAGUGAUAAUAAUACUUGUAAACCUAUUGUAUUUACAAGUUAUAUUAAAAACUGCAUGUUUGUAUCUUUUUCUUGAUUAUCCAAUAUAUUAUUUAUAAUUAAAAAAUAGCAAA
rnacentral:lncRNA from 1 species